rnacentral:misc_RNA from 1 species
AAAUCGAUUACAGACUUCUUGGGGUAUAUUUCACCAACUUUCCAUCAUUUUUCAUAUCUCUAUCUUAAAAAAAUUGGCUGGUUGCGUUAACAAUUAAUCAUAAAAAGGAAGCAAUAGCAAAUAUGAUGAUACAAGAAGAUAUUAUAGAAGCAUAUAUGAAUCUUUACAAUGCAAAGUUAAGAUGACGGCUUUUGACUGGCUCCUUGGAUUUAUUUCUCUCAUUCUUUUGUUGAUUUCAAGUUGUUGUUUUUAUUCAAUCAACUCUCUCUAUUAUCGUGCAAGGUAUAAGACUAAUGUAAGUGGUUUGCUUCCCAUCAAAAAACACAGGGAACUUAAGAAAAGUAGAGGGCAAAGGAUGGAGCAUGCUAAUCAUAGUGGCCCAUACAUAAAUGUACAGAAUUUUGAAAUUGGUUCACCACGUCUAGAUUGUGUUUUUCAUUUGAGUCAUUUGACGGGCAUAGAGGCCAUGCAAGCCUGAUAUGCAGUGGACACGUCUGGCCUAACGCAACUUAUGUAGAAAAUUAUUGAAAUGCUUAAUGGGAAUGCGGUAAACUGGGGCAUCAAGGAAUAUUCUGUCUUUCCCUCUUCUAUGCUAUGAAUUCCUGAAUCCUGAUAAUAAGAUGCAGUUUGUUUUUCUAGGGUUUACUUUUUCCACCUAAUUAUCUUCAAUCAGUAGUGUGGGUAUGGCGAAUUGGGUUUAUGCAUUCUUGCUGAACAAUAAACCUCUGAUAAUUCUUCAUCAAACUGCAGGAAACAAAUGUUCUAACAUAUGUGGUAUACAUGCAUUAUCCUCGUCCUUGUUUUACAAAUCAUUUUCCAUGACCCUUUCUAACUCACAGGCGGAGGCAAUCUCGAGAAAGGU